ensembl:lncRNA
CUACAUGUGACGCUUGUAGUUUCAAACCAGAUAGACAUACUUUUUGGAUUCUAAAGCAUACAUUUGAACAAAAGUCAAUACAUUUCACAUGUAUAACUUAAACAACAACCAUUUGGCUUAUGAAUGUCUAUAAACAGGAAUCGUUCUUGUGAAGUCAGUAAUAAAUGCAUGUGUUUGUAUUUCUUGCUGACCUCAGCUAUGACACAGGACAGCAUACCAGCAAAUAAUAAAUCUGUUGUUCAAUACUAAUUCAAAGUUAAUGUUACUGAUUCCAAGUUAACAGAUAUAUGUAUUCACUGGUUACAGAAAAUAUUUAUAUCUGUUAAGUGGAACAAAGCAAUGCUCUUUUGAAUGUUACUAUAUAUGUGUGUGUAUAUUAUAUAUAUAUAUAUAUAUAUAUAUAUAUAUAUAUAUAUAUACACACACACACACACACACACACACAUAUAUAUACAUAUAUAUAUAGCUAAGGUAGGAAGUAACUAACAAAUAAUGUCUUUUUGAUGGAGGAUGAAGUUAAAGGAAUAAUACUGAUGAAAAAUCCAUUAAAUUCUGAACAGAAAAAAAAUUAUAGCAUAGGUUUUGACAAAUUCAGUGUAUUGUUCUGCAUUACUAAAGAUAAGAACAAACAAUAUCUAUAUAUUAUGUAGAAGCCCUUUUAAGUUUUUAAGCUUACUAAAUACAAAUAAUUUAGUAACUCAGUAAUGGUUCGGUCCCAUCUCUUACCAGCUUCAGAGACAUGGCUGUUAAAAAAAAUACUGAAAAAUAUUGUAAUAGUGAAAAAAGAAAAGAAAAGAAAAAAAACCCUUUGGAUGGAAUUCUGUUGCUAAAUCAUUUCUCAGCAUCUUCUCAAAAAAGUGCUCAAACUUUGUUGAUGCUUCAAGACUCAUUCUCAUCAGUACUGCAUGUAACUUGUACACUCAGAAUAAUCACUUCCAUCCCUGUUUUGCCUCAUUACAAUCCACUGGUUGUUAUUGCAAGACCAGUCCUGCAGCGGCCAAUCAGCAUACGUGACAGUGACCACCUCAUCCACUGGACCACAGUCCCUAGGUCUGAGAGAAGGCUCGAGACAUUGAAUAACCUGAGACUGGUCAAACUGCCCCGAGUAUGCAUAAUGAGCAGGAUUUGUGAACUGUGUCUCAUACAUACAGCUGUGAAAGCUCAUUUGAACUUCAGAAUGUGUGUUAGUCUCUAAAGGCGGUGCAUCAUUGUCUGUGCAUGUGGUUGCAGGGCUUUGGUCUUCGAUCUCAGGCGCCACUGUGGUUGUCUCUCUUAGAGAUGUUCUCUCAAUGAUAACAGGUCCCUCCUGCAGUGACAGGCUUACCUUAAACACAGGCUCCUUAACUUUGUUUGUACAUACUACUUUCUUAGGAUGAUCCUUCUUUAUUUUUUUGGACAUCUGAUGGGUUGGAGCUCCAGCAGGAGCUAUAAAAGCCCGUGCAUCAGAAGGGGGCAGCAUAGACUCUGCUGGACGUUUAAGAGUCUGACUUGAACCUUGUGAAACAAAAGAAAAUCUAUCAAAUGUCUGCCUGUAAUCAUUUUCUUAAUUAUUUUUGGUUUGUUUUCCAAUAUAAAUAUCAAAAUUACAUAAUAAAACAU